rnacentral:misc_RNA from 1 species
GGAAGUAAAAGUCAUAACAAGGUCUCCGUUGGUGAACCAGCGGAGGGAUCAUUACAGAGUUGCAAAACUCCCAAACCAUUGUGAACGUUACCUCUCCCGUUGCUUCGGCGGGCGGCCCGGGCCCCGCGCCCGGCGCCCCCCGGCCCCCCGUGGGCGCCCGCCGGAGGUAAACCAAACCCCUGAAUUGCAUGGCCUCUCUGAGUCUUCUGUACUGAAUAAGUCAAAACUUUCAACAACGGAUCUCUUGGUUCUG